CAGAAUAUAAUGAUGUUAGCCAUGGUGAGAGGGUGGCUCAAACAAAAGCUUUUGUUCUCACCUUCCUGACUCCUUCAAGCAGUCGCUUCUGUCUUGAGUCCCAUCUCCUCCCCAAGUUACCAUGCUUUGAUCAACAUUUUAAGGGUUGCUUUUAUGAUUGUUUGCUUUAAAGGAUUGCUGUACCGUCUGAAUUUAUAUAAUCUGAAGCCUACAGUUCAGAGUUCAAACUAAGAGGCUAGACUGCCUUACAACUACUAUGAGAAUGAGAAAAGUUGACAAACGAUCUUUAUAAUAUUCUGCAUCUGUAGAAUGCCCCACGUUUUCAUGGUUGAGAUCCUUUGGUUUUACCCACUUUUUUCCCCCCAUUUCUGUGCCUGUUUGGUUUUUAAGAUUGUCUUGCUGUUUUCAUCUGCCAUUUUAGCUGGUUAAUCCACUAAACUAACAUGUGCCUGAAAUUUCGGAGUAGCUCAAAAGCUUGCAGAGAAGUUUAAUGGUUACAGAAGUGAAAGAGCAACAGUGCUGGCCUGACUCAUACCCUGUAGGAGUAGGUGCUAGCAUAAACCUCCACACAUAUAUCUGCUGGUUUAUCUCAGCCGUUUUAACAAGCGGUAGUCUGUUUUAACCCAUUACGGUUCAGAUCUAUCAAGCUUAGAUACGACGCAUUUCUCUCUGGGGUGAAAUAGCUUCUUCAGCACCCACUGAAGACGGUUCUACUACCAGCAGUUUACAUUGCUAUGUACAAUUAGACUACUUGAUCCAAAAUAUGGCAGUCUUUCUGUUAAGGAAUAUUAUAAAGGAAUAUUAUAUGUGCCAACAGGUGCAUAUCUCACCAACCCCUUGCCAGAUUUGGGGUGAAUUUUAUAUUUUUGUGUGCUAUGUUCCCUGCUUCCAGAGUCUCUGUUGUGCCCUACAGAUGCAGCCUGGCCUGUGACAGAAGUCCUCCUUCAAAGCCUGAUCAAAAGGAUCAUUUCUGCCUGAAUACAACCUAAAUAUAGAGAUAUAACUGUAUGAUAUGUGUGCUGUUAUACCUUUACAGUGCUGCAGGAGUGUAAAGGUAGAUGGCAUGUGGUUGCCAUCCCUCCUGGUGCAGAGCAUGCCAGACCAGAAGAGCAGAGUCAGGCUUGGGCCUCCAUUGUUCCUCUUGCUGGCAGCCACUCACAAGGAGUAUUUACUGGGAGUACCACUGGGCUCCUCUGAUCUGUGACCAAAGGAGAGAAACAAGAGGAGAAACAGAAAUCCAGCGCUUUGCUUUGCAAGAAUCCUCUACAGCUGUAUUUCCUCUCUGAGAGUAGAGGGAUGGAAAUGGAGAUUCUGGGUGCAGCCAUCUUCUGUAGGCUCCCUUUUCACAUGAAGAUGUCUCUGUAGCUCGUUGCCUGACGGUCUCAUUGUCAACGCCCUCAGAAGGGUCUAGAGGACUCACUCCACCUGCUUUCCCUAUGAGCUGUGCAUUUUCCUGAGAAGUUACUUGGAUUUCAGGAGGUGGAUACUACCAUAAAAGGAUGACAUGUAUGGACUAAUGGGCCUAUCCUUCAGAAGGAGGAAAAUAUAUCGUUCCAGUGCUGGAAGCCGUGCUUGGUGUUUGCUUCUAAGAAACAAGCAGUUGCGCAUAAAAUAUACUUAUGGAGACAUAGAAGACAAGGAGCAUUAAUCCUUUGGGCACAUCCUAAUAUGGGUGAUUACUUUUAGCUUAACUAGAUCCCUUUUAGUGUUUGGAGUGAAAGUAGUGCCAAGUAAAACUUCCCAUUUUAUUUGCUAGUUGUGAGUGACUUCUCACUUUUGCCAUUCAGGAAGGUCCAUUACAUCAGGCCUGACAGAUUAAGGAAGAACUCCCCUCUAUUCCUCCUUCCCCAUGAAAGAAAAAGCCAUUUAUUAAUGAUGUGCUGGCUCAAAUGGAGACAGACUCUGAAAGAUCUAUACCAAACACAUUGGCUUUAAGCCAGCAUUUCCUUUAUCCUGAAACCUCUGUGAAGCCAAGGACAUACGCCAGCUCUCUAUGUGAGGACAGAUCUUAUGCCUCCACUCACACGUGUGCUGGGAAUCUAGGAACUGUGCUUCAUUUCAUGAUGCCAGCCAUGACUAGUGCAAGUUCAGAAGCUUCACAGAUCAUGUUAUUUCAGUCCUUGCUCCUAGCCAGCCUGCUCCCAUGAUACAGCAAAUCUCAUUCCUCUGCCCAAAGCAAAGAGAAAGCAGAAGACUCAGGGUGGUGGAAGAAACGUUAAUCUCUGAAGAUAAUGAAUGAAGAAGUAGAGUGAGAAGCAAAGGGGAAGGACAUGUUUGGGCCCAAAUUCUUGAUUCAUGGAGCAGGAGAGCUGCUGCAGUCCUGAAAAGUUUUGAUUCCUGAAGCUCCAGACAGUUACUAGCCCAAGGGGAAGGCAGGGUUGCCAGAGGGGGAGACCUGGCAGCUUGCUUGGGCUUUCUCAUGUCUCCUUUAGCAUUGGCCAGAGAGGUUCUUGCAACAGGCUGAGGCAUGGAAAAUACACAGGUGAGCUCCACUGCUGGUUCUGGAGGUAUUGCAGAUUCCUGCCUCAGUCUCAGAGGUAUCCAAUAAGCACGUGCUGUCUUUGGAGGCAAGAGGGUUUCCUGCUCUUUGCACUCAGCCCAGUAAUUUAGUAGCUUGUCCCUUGUGGCCAAGGACACAACACCAAAACAGAGUCGUUUGUCUGCCUUAGCCAGAAUCACAACCCUGUGUGGUAUAGAUGCAGAGGGCUCAAGCCAGGUGGCUCAGGCUGAAACAGGUUUGCUUGUGUAAAAACAACUUUGUGGCUAGUCUGGCUGUCUGUGUCAUGUUUUGUAUUUAGUAGCAAAACAGUCUGUAUAGGUGGCAGGAAGAGGAAUCCUGUAGGAUAGAGAUAGCAAUUGUAAGAAAUUCCAAAAACGAAAGG